rnacentral:rRNA from 1 species
GUGUCAGCAGCCGCGGUAAUACGUAGGGUGCAAGCAUUAAUCGGAAUAACUGGGCGUAAAGGACGCGUAGGCGGCCUCUUAAGUCUGGCGUGAAAUUACGGGGCUCACCCCCGUAGCUGCGUCGGAAACUGGGAGGCUAGAGGACGGAAGGGGAAAGCGGAAUUCCAUGUGUAGCGGUGAAAUGCGUAGAUAUAUGGAAGAACACCAGUGGCGAAAGCGGCUUUCUAGUACGUUCCUGACGCUGAGGCGUGAGAGCAAGGGGAGCAAACAGGAUUAGAUACCCUGGUAGUCCUUGCCGUAAACGAUGUGUACUUGAUGUAUUCGGUCUCAACCCCGAGUGUGUCGAAGCUAACGCGAUAAGUACACCGCCUGGGGAGUACGCCCGCAAGGGUGAA